GACGAACGCUGGCGGCGUGCUUAACACAUGCAAGUCGAACGCUGAAGCUUGGUGCUUGCACUGGGUGGAUGAGUGGCGAACGGGUGAGUAAUACGUGAGUAACCUGCCCUUGACUCUGGGAUAAGCCUGGGAAACUGGGUCUAAUACUGGAUAUGACAUGCCACUGCAUGGUGGUGUGUGGAAAGGGUUUUACUGGUUUUGGAUGGGCUCACGGCCUAUCAGCUUGUUGGUGGGGUAAUGGCCUACCAAGGCGACGACGGGUAGCCGGCCUGAGAGGGUGACCGGCCACACUGGGACUGAGACACGGACCAGACUCCUACGGGAGGCAGCAGUGGGGAAUAUUGCACAAUGGGCGGAAGCCUGAUGCAGCGACGCCGCGUGAGGGAUGACGGCCUUCGGGUUGUAAACCUCUUUCAGCACGGAAGAAGCGAGAGUGACGGUACGUGCAGAAGAAGCGCCGGCUAACUACGUG
rnacentral:rRNA from 1 species